GAUUAGCGGCGGACGGGUGAGUAACACGUGGGCAACCUGCCUAUAAGACUGGGAUAACUUCGGGAAACCGGAGCUAAUACCGGAUACGUUCUUUUCUCGCAUGAGAGAAGAUGGAAAGACGGUUUACGCUGUCACUUAUAGAUGGGCCCGCGGCGCAUUAGCUAGUUGGUGAGGUAAUGGCUCACCAAGGCGACGAUGCGUAGCCGACCUGAGAGGGUGAUCGGCCACACUGGGACUGAGACACGGCCCAGACUCCUACGGGAGGCAGCAGUAGGGAAUCUUCCGCAAUGGACGAAAGUCUGACGGAGCAACGCCGCGUGAACGAAGAAGGCCUUCGGGUCGUAAAGUUCUGUUGUUAGGGAAGAACAAGUACCAGAGUAACUGCUGGUACCUUGACGGUACCUAACCAGAAAGCCACGGCUAACUACGUGCCAGCAGCCGCGGUAAUACGUAGGUGGCAAGCGUUGUCCGGAAUUAUUGGGCGUAAAGCGCGCGCAGGUGGUUCCUUAAGUCUGAUGUGAAAGCCCACGGCUCAACCGUGGAGGGUCAUUGGAAACUGGGGAACUUGAGUGCAGAAGAGGAAAGUGGAAUUCCAAGUGUAGCGGUGAAAUGCGUAGAGAUUUGGAGGAACACCAGUGGCGAAGGCGACUUUCUGGUCUGUAACUGACACUGAGGCGCCGAAAGCGUGGGGAGCAAACAGGAUUAGAUACCCCUGGUAGU
rnacentral:rRNA from 2 species